rnacentral:rRNA from 1 species
UACGAAGGGGCUAGCGUUGUUCGGAUUAACUGGGCGUAAAGGGUGCGUAGGCGGGUUUUAAGUCAGGGUGAAAUCCCGAGGCUCAACCUCGGAACUGCCUUUGAUACUGGAAAUCUUGAGUCUGGGAGAGGUGAGUGGAACUGCGAGUGUAGAGGUGAAAUUCGUAGAUAUUCGCAAGAACACCGGUGGCGAAGGCGGCUCACUGGCCCGGAACUGACGCUGAGGCACGAAAGCGUGGGGAGCAAACAGG